rnacentral:tRNA from 1 species
GUAAAUAUAGUUUAACCNAAAACAUUAGAUUGUGAAUCUAAAUACAGAAGCCCACUACUUCUUAUUUACC